rnacentral:lncRNA from 1 species
GUAGGUUCUUUAAGCAUUGACGAGCUAAAGACCAUUUUAAAUUCUAAGCCUAGGGAAGCUUACAAUGGAACUAAUCAGAUGUUUUUAUGUCGGUUUGUUCCGAGACAGUGGAAGACUGGAGGUCAUGUGCUUGUGUCUAAUGUUUAGCAAAAUCUUAGUGAAACGAGGGCGAUAGGAAUGGGGGCUGGGGAAGACUUAGAUGGGAUAAAAAGAGGUGCGGCUGGAAGAACUAAAUCACUUUAAAACUUCUGAAAAUAAAUGUUGACCAUUGUAGUCAGAGGAGUAAAAUGUUCAGAGAAAUGGGGAUGAUUAAACAAGAACGGCAAGCCAGAUUGAGUCAGAAAAUUAUCUUCCUGCCAGAAAUUCUGUCUCCCACAACGGCAUCAGGGGGUGGUUACUUGCCCAGGGUGUAGUCAGUUUUUAAAAAGCUUAAGGGUUACCAACAUAUUCCUAAAUUUCCUGAAUUUGCUGUGAUUCCAGGAUUCAUUUAAACUCUUGAGACUGUUUUACUUUCGGCACGAAAUCAGCUCAUGGGCUUUAUAAAUGUAGAACCUACUGCAUUAUAGUUCUUCUUUUUGUUUAUUCUAAAACUGUUAGUAGCAGCCAGCGUAUUAUAUGAUUUGGAUUGGGCCAUGAACAACCGUAACGAGUGAUAAAGCACCCUUUCCUGUUCCAAUGCAAAGAACAACUAUGAAAAGAAAGUACUGGCAAAUUUAUCAUCUUGUAGUUAGUUCCUGGCCAAAGAAAAUGGUAAGGCCAUUCUUUUAAGCAGUUAAAAAAAAAUGGGGAUGGGCUCUUAAACUUUGGCAUGCUAAGGCCAUUCUUUUAAGCAGUUUAAAAAAAUGGGGAUGGGCUCCUAAACUUUGACAUACUAAAGCAGUCGUCAUUUAGGUAAAAUCUAAGUCUUAAUGGAAAUCGUGAUUUCAUAUCUACUGCAGCGUUAGCAAUCACAUAAUGAUAACUUAAAUCAGUAAAUCGUUGAACUCGGUUCUCUAAUCUUUGAAGAAUAGAAAUACUUUUUAUCCCAAAAGAUGUUUUGAGAAUUAAAUUUGCAGAGAAUUUUUUAGGUCUUUAGUUGUAAUUUAUAGAGCUAGGUCUUUUAACUUUAGUGGAAACCAUGCCCUCCAAACCCAAGUGACUGGAGUCAGAAUGUGAAAUAAGACGACAUAAAAUCCCUAUUUCUUAAGGGGCUGGGCGAAAGUAAUGGAACAAAAUGUAACGUUAUGCUAUUGUGGCAGAGAUAGCUAAUGGAAUGUUUCAUUUCUAAGUCUGUAAUUUCAGUAAUUGUUAGAGGCAGUUUUCCAUCAAUAAGUUAGAUCAAAUGGUUAAACCCAAUAUGAAUUUAUAAAAGCUUAAUUUAAUUUUGGAUUGAUUUACCAGAUGUUUAAGGUGGUUAUAAUGGGUAGUGUUGAUGGUGGUGCUUUUGGAAAAAUGAGUAUUAUAUGCCUGCUCAUCCCUUUACAUUAUCUUAUCAUAUAAACUUCUUGAUUACUCGUUAUGAUACUCUUAAAUCGUACAUUUAGAGGAAAAAUCUUAAAGUAAUCUGUAAGACCAUUUCUCCUUAAAAUGAUAUAUUAUGAGAUGAAAGGAAAGAUAAAGAUAAUUUAGAAGAGAUCCAGAAGUGGACUAAAUUUCUGGUAAGGAGGGGGCUAAAGAUGUUAAAAGACAUCUUAGGAAAAGCAUAUGAUUUAUAACUUUUAAAAGUGUCAUUUAGAUGGUUAAGGAUUUGUGUUUAAUAGUUCUCUUGAAAAUAUUGUUUUCCAAAAGUUUAAAAGCCCUAGCUACUUUUAUACAUUUGCCCUUAAAAAAUGUACAGAAUUUAUUACAUCAAACUGCUACAAAGAAAUAAGAAUUCUGAUUUUUGCAAGUAAGUUGGAAAUCAACGUAGAGGACAAAAAGUGGCAUAGCUAUAUCUAAACAAAAAAGUAUGUAAUUCAAAAGUUGGUCCACAAAGAAUUGAAAGCCUUUCAAUAACUAAUUUAAAUGAUAGAAAGCAGUAUGUAUAUGCAAGUACAUAUGCUCCCUGUAUAGAGAGUGGUUAGUAAGUAAGAUGGUAGCCUAACUCACUGGAAUAAAGAGAUCCUUGGAGUCCCAAACCUCAAGACUAGGAGUCUUAAUGCAGUUACCAGGCUGCAUGCCUGUACCCAGAGACCAUACUAGAGGCUGUGGGAAUCCUCGAUUACUGCUCUUAGAGCCCCCAACUUGACUGUUUCUUCUGUACCUGGUACUUUUUUCAAAUAUUUCAAAUUGCAGUGAUGCAUGGGAGAUACAUUUAGAAAACAUAAUGCAGGGGAAUAAAAGCAGUUAAAAACUAAGGACAGUUUCUACUGAUGAAAAUAAAAAACUGCUACAGCAACAUCUUUUCAUCAUCUGUAAACAUCAUACCCCCAAAUUUUCCUAAGUUAUUAUCUAACCUCAUCAGUAGCAGAUGGUGAAUUAUUUCAUAGAAAAUCCUGGAAUGUAAACUCUAGAUACUCAAGAAAACCUCUUUUUUUUCAAUGAAGGUAUAUUAUAUUUAAAAUAAUAAUGAUGCAUUAAACAUUAUGGGAUAAAGAAAAUACUUUCCAUAGAAAUUAAGCAAUGGCCUAGGCAAAGAGAAGUAACCCUUUAGCAUUAAUACUAUCAGUUAGACAGUGACAUUUAUUGAACAUUCCCUGUGUUGUGUAUUAAGAAUUGGACUACCUAUAUCCCAGUCAACAAUUUUUUCUGGAGUUUAGAAAUAGUUUAUGCUUAUUUUCUGUGUUUUUUAUUACCAAAUUGUUAUUAGUUUGGUGCAAAAGUAAUUGUGGUUUUUGUCACUUACAUGAUGGCAAAAACUGCAAUUACUUUUGCACCAACCUAAUAGAAAAAUACAAAAUGGAGAAUAGUUUUCAGGUUCCACAAAGCAUUUGCUGGAAAUAAAUAUCAGUUGUCUAAAUAAGUAGUACUUGAUUUAUUACUAUGAUUUUCGUAGGGUUCCAUUUCUGGAACAAUAUCAUAUUAAUAAACCCUUUCAGUGAGACCAUUGUGUGGUAUUGCCCAAAAAGGAAAAAAAAAUGUAAUGAGAAAGGACUAAGGCUAAUAAAAUUCCAUAAAUACUAUUAUAAAGAAAAGUAUAAUUUGACUGAGAUGCACAAAUGCUUACUUGAUAAUGAGGUGUUUUUAAGGAAACUUCUAUUAAAUACUCUUUUUGAGUUUAAUAUACUAUGAAACAAUGUUGUCUUUUUUUUUUUUUUAAUGAAGAUUUCCUUGACUUCCAAAGACCUUUGAUGUUCAAGCAAAAUGUAGCAAUUUGGUAAAAGUAAAGGGUGCAUUUCGAACUGAAAUAAACAUAAUGUCCUAUUAAGACCUGUAUUAUAUUUUAUGGAAUUUAACUUAGAAUGUAAGAUAUUAGCUCUGCGGUUUUACAAGCUUGUUUAAAUUCUGCAAUGUAGGGCAACAGAAAAUCCAAACAAAAUCCAUUAAUGACUAUAUUACUUCUUUAUUUUUCUUUUUAAAUAUUAUAUGUGGCCAGUCAGGAUGAAGUUUUUUUUAAACUACAUUUCCUAGUUGGACAGAUCAAGAGUAAGCUCCAGUUUUGCUAUAAUCUCGUUUUGUGAUUGCUGACAAGUCUAUUACUCCCUCAGUUCCCCUAUCACUAAAAAGAAAUAACAUUGUGGUAAAGAGGUGUUAAACUACCAAAUCCACUGAAAAAGUAUGGAAAAAGGUCACAGAUGUGGCAGCUUUGGCAUCUUCAGAAGAAAAGAUAGCAACUCAAUGUGAUACUAUUGGCAAUACCAUUUGUUAAUUGAAAAAAGAAGAAGAAAGCAGUUACUAGACAUCCAUGAUUUUAUGGAGAAGCCAUAUUCUGUCAUAGAUGAGCUAUUUACAGACAUUCAAUGGCACAUUCUUUGACAAAGUGAAUCAUCACUGUCUAGUCUUUCUUGUAUAUGAAUUUGAAGUAUUGAUUAAAGUUGUAGCAUACCUGUAAUUUUAAACUGUAAAACUCUAACACUCACAAAAGAACAUUGAAAGACUGCAAAUUUCUAGACUUGGAGGUUAUAAUUCCUUCUGUAUGUUACUACUAUCAGCUUAUAAAAUUUUAAAAAAUGUGAGUGUAGAAACUUAUAUAAACUGUAUUCACACAUGAAGGAUAGCCUAAAUGCUCCGGACUGAUAAUCUGAAGGUCAUUCUCACCUGGCUGAUUGAACUACUUUUAUUCAUAGAAGCCAAAGUUUUGAAAGGUACAGAUAGAAUCUUGACUACCUUGCAUUCGCAGUUACGUUUUAAUUGCAAAAUAACAAGCUCUUUAGUCACUGGAAACAAAACACUUUUAGCAUUUAACUUUAUAAUACUUGAAAUCCUACCUUGAAAGCAUUCAUACUCAUUAAAAGCUCAACACAUGAUCCAUGUUUACAUAAGGAUUUGGGUGUUGCUUAAAAUGAUCAUGUAAUGAGCUGCUUCUCUGCAAAUUAAUAUUCACUCCCUUCCCUCAUCCUUAAUGUGGGAUCUUUGAAGGAAAAGGAAGUGACCAAACUAAAGACAUAGGGAAAUGCAAAAUCAAGGUGAAAAGUUACCCAGAGGGUUGUUUUAAUUUUGGCCAUCAACCCCCUAGUGAAUAAUGGUAACAGUAUUGUUUUGAGACCCAUUUUGUGGCAUUUACCUAUUGUUAAACUAAAUUGACUAGAUGUAAAUAUAUUUUCAUCUUCAGAUAUUUAGAAUUUCUAUCCUUCCCCAUUGUUUCUGGAUUUUGAUACUAAUCUUUUUUCUUUGCAUAUUGUAUAUAUUUACUCAACAACUAAUCUAAUUUUAGAUUUUUAGCUUAUCCACAUUUCAUUUUUGUUUAUUUCAUUGGUAUUUCAUCAAUACAAUGGCUCUACCCUUCAAGGAAAAAAAACAUCAGCCCGUCCCACAAAAACACAUAUAUUCAAGAAAGAUAAAUUACAUUGUGAUGAUUCAAUCAUAAAGCUACUCAAGGAUGUGCUCCACCAAAAUGAGGAUAUGAAGCCAAUAUAAAGGAAGGCAAUGAAUACAAGAGACAGGCAAAGGGAGUUCCCAGGACAUAAGCAAGGGACGUCCCAGGUAGCAAGUGUGCACCUGGUGUCCAGGGCCAUCUGUCCAGGGAGAAGUCAGCUGCCAUGUCAUGAAGACGCUCGAGUAGCCCUAUGAGAUUCCCAUGUGAACAGAAAUUGAGUCCUCCUGCCAACAAUCAGCCAUAAUUUGCAAGACACGUACAUGAGCUACCUUAGAAGAGAAUCCCUGGGCCCCAGAUAAGCCUUCAGGUGAAUGCAGCCCUGGAAGACAUCUUAACUGCAACCUCAUGAGAGACCCUGAGCCAGAACCAACCAGCUAAGGCACUGCCCGAUUCCUGACCUACACGCAUGGGGGCAUGGUGGCUCACUCCUGUAAUGCCAGCACUUUGGGAAGCCGACGUGGGUUGAUCACUUGAGCCCAGGAGUUCAAGACUAGCCUGGCCAACAUGGCGAAAGCCCGUCUCUACUAAAAAUACAAAAAUUAACUGGGCAUGGUGGUACACACCUGUAAUCCCAGCUACCCAGGAAGAUGAGGUACAAAAAUCGCUGGAACCUGGGAGGAGGAUGUUGCAGUGAGCUGAGAUUGAGCCACUGCCCUCCAGCCUGGGCAACAGAGACUCUGUUUCAGAAACAAAAACAAAAACAAAAGCAACAACAAAAAAAAUUCCUAUUGAAAUUUAACUUACAUGUGAUAAAAUUAAUGUAACAUUUUAUAUAUAUUAUAUAUAAAAUAUAUACUUAUAUAUUAUAUAUACUUAUAUAUAAUGCAUUAUAUAUGCUUAUAUAUAAUGUAUUAUAUAUGCUUAUAUAUUAUAUAAUACAUCUUCUAAUAUAUGUGUGUAAUAUAUAAUGUAACCUGUAUAUCAGUUUCACAGAUGUUAACUUAACAAGCAAAGUUCAUUGAACCAUGCAUUUGUAUUCUAUGCACUUUGUUAUAUAUCACAGUUUAAAAGGUCCAAAGUAGAGUAUAGACAGGCACAGUGGUUCAUGCCUGUAAUCCCAGCACUUAGGGAGGCAGAGGCAGGAGGAUAGCUUGAGCUCAGGAGUUCAAGACCUGACGGGGCAACAGAGCAAGAUCCUGUUCUCCACAGACAGGAAAAGAGAAAGUAGAGUAUAAAUACAGCAUAGGAUCUUGAAAAUCAGACUGGAUCAAAAGGUGACCAUGAACUAGCAAUUAAGGUUCUGUUUAAAAACAACUAACACGUGUUGGGACAUAAGAAUUAGGGUAGCACACAAUAAACUAUCUCCUGGCUUAUAUUUUUUAAAUAUCACUGGGUGGGUCAGUAGUCUGAACCUGGUUGCCAAGGCAGUUCCUAAACCUGGGGAGUAUGACUGAUAAGUUUUUCACCUUGACAGCAGAAAGCAGUUGGGCCCAAGAGAGGGUAGGCUUGAUGCUAGCAAAAUUAUGAAGAUGAAGCCUUAAGUACCUUAUCUUGUUUGUGCUUGCCCCUUGCUCUGCUUCUCUACACCUUUGGAUUCUCAGCAGCCUGCUGCUUUUCUACACCUUUGGAUUCUCAGCAGCCUGUGUAUUUGUGUACUUAUCCCCCUUCCCUUCCUGUCAUCUACCCAUUUCCAAAGCCAAGGCAGGUCUAAAGUCCUGCUUUGUUGACUUCUGGUUCAAUCAGGGGUGUUUCUAUCAUAUCACACUGGCUGAAGGUAUUUGUACCUUAACCUUGAUCUCUGAUUAUGAAUGAAAGGUUUUGGGUCCUAUUAAAGAAAUUUUCAUCACCACUGACUAGUUAUUUGAGGUGUAUUUUGGGUGAGGUGGGCCUUGCUGCCCCUGGGGUAGCACCUUGUAAGCUCUGGUAUGGUAUGCCCUGGGGAGAAGGUGUCAGCUAACUUUUAAAAAUCACUGCAGGUGAUUCAGAUAUGACAACCUGUAUCCUGUAUGACAACCUGCCUUCUGUCCACACCCCGUCUCUCAAUGAGAACCACCUUUUACAGGAAGGCCACUCAUAAGCAGAUAUAUCUAUUUAUUCAUUCAUUAAACAACUAUUUCUUGAGCUCUAACUGUGUCUGGCUAUGGGCUAGCACUGGUGACUCAGGGUUGAACAGAAACAGGCAUAGGCCAUGCAUGGUUUAGUGCAAGACACACAUUAAUCAAGGCAAGCAGGUAAAUGUAAAGUUACCAGUCAGGUAAGUGUCGUAAAUCUGGGUUUACUCAACAUAAAGACAGGUGAAUUGAGAGUUAGCUUAAUAAUUAUGAUUUUCAAGUAUAAGAUGAAUAAAUUAUGUAGAGGAGAAUAUUAUACACUGUAAAAAAGACAUAAAAAAGGAAGUUUGCUGUAGCAUAAAGAAUUUAAGGUAAUGGCUACCAUAGUCAGAGGGCCUGCUCUGUGCCAAGCAUGGUGUUAUUUUAUUUUAUUUUUUUAUUUUUGAGACUGAGUCUUGCUUUGUUGCCCAAGCUGGAGUGCAAUGGUACGAUCUCAGCUCACCAUAACUUCUGCCUCCUGGGCUCAAGCAAUUCUCCUGCCUCAGCCUCCCGAGUAGCUGGUACUACAGGCAUGCACCACCACGCCCGGCUAAUUUUUGUAUCUUUAGUAGAGACAGAGUUUCAUGUGAGCCAGGCUGGUCUCGAACUCCUCACCUCAAGUGAUCCACUGUACCCAGCCUGCUGUUAUUUUAUAUAUUAAAAAUUUUACAUAAAUAUAUUUUACAUAUUUUUAUAUUUUUAUAAAAUAGUGAUUAUAUAUUAUCAUUUAUUAAACUCAUAUAUAUUGAUAAAGCCUCACAGAACCCUACAGAGAUUUAAAAAAGCAAUACUUAGAGAUAUUAGAUAAUCUGUUCUAGGUCACCCAACAUAUAUAUAUUUAAUAACAGCUUUAUUGAUAUAUAAUUCACAUACCAUAACAUUCACCCUUUUAAAAUAUAAAAUUCAGUGGGUUUUAGCAUAUUCAUGUACUUGUAAAUUACCACUAUCUAAUUUUAGAACAUCUUCAUCACCCCCAAAGAAAUCCUGUACACAUUAGCUUCUACCUUUCAUUCCCCCUCACCUCUGCCAGUUCCUGGUAACCACAAAUCUACUUUCUUUCUGUAUGGAUUUGCCUAUUCUGGACAUUUCAGUAAUGUUUUCAAGAUUCAUUCAUGUUAUAUUGUAUAUCAGUACUUUGUUUCUCUUUGUUGCUGAGUAAUAUUCCAUUGUAUGAAUAACCUCAUUUUGUUCACUCUUCAGUUGAUGAACAUUUGAGUUGUCUCCACUUUUUGGCUAUUAUAAAUAAUGCUGCUAUGAAUAUUUAUGUACAAGUUUCCAUGUAGACAUAUGUUUUCAGAUCUCUUGGGUUUAUUUCUAGGAGAAGAAAUGCUAGAUCAUGUGGUAACUCUAUGUUUAACAUUUUGAGAACCGCCAAACUAUUUUCCAAAGUGGCUGCAUCAUUUUACAACCUAUCAGCAAUGUAUGAGGGUUCCCAUUUCUCUACAUUCUUGUUAACAUUAUUUAAGGUAUCCUAGUGAGUGUGAUGUGGUAUCUCAUUGUGGUUUUGAUUUGCAUUUCCUCACCAGCUAAAAUUCAUGAAAUUCAGAUUCAAGUUCAGGUCCAAAGCCAGAGUUUUAGCCACUGUGCAAUACCAUCUCUCUCAUGCUCCUAGAAGUAAGGAAGAAUACGUUGAUAAGAUUGUAACGCACUGGAUUGAAUUUUAAUUAUCAUCUGGGUAUUCACCUCUAGAAGCUUUUAAAAACAAGGGCUUUUUUGUUGUUGUUGUUUUGUUUUUUUGAGACAGUCUUGCUCUGUCACCUAGGCUGUAGUGCAGUGGCGUGAUCUAGGCUCACUGCAACCUGUGCAAUUCUCAUGCCUCAGCCUCCCAAGUUGCUGGGAUUACAGGUGUGUGCCACCACACCCAGCUAAUUUUUGUAUUUUUAGUAGAGAUGGGGUUUCACCAUGCUGGCUAGGCUGGUCUCAAACUCCUGACCUCAAGUGAUCCUCCAGCCUCAGCCUCCCAAAGUGCUAGGAUUACAGGUGUGAACCACUGCACCCAGCCCGGUUUUGUUUUUAAUCUAGGAUAUAAUAGCUAUGGAUUAAAUUCAGUGAUGAGCUGGUAAAUGGUUGACAACCAACUUGGGGUGCCACAGUGGGGUGGGGGUAGCAGGAGGAGCUCUGAUUUGUAACCACUGCUUAUUACCAUAAUGUGAAUACUCCCACCCAUUACCGAUUUCAAGCUACCAACUUGAUGUCUGUCAGCCAGCUUGCAAAAAUCCUGAAAAUGUAACAAUCAGCUCUUGUGAACAGUAUGAGCCUGAGCCAGCUCCAACAUACAAAUUCUAUAAAUUCAUUAAGGCACUUUUUGAAUUACAAAUGUCUUUGUACAUAAGAGAAAAUGAAAUGAUCACUAGUUACAGAAGAUAUAAUUACAUAUGUAGAAAAAUCUAAAGUAAUUCAUGUAAAAUUAAUAUAAGCAAUACACAAUUUCAGCAAUGGGACUAGAUUAAAUAGUUAUACAAAAAUUAUCUUCUCUCGCAAAAAUAAUUAGUUAGCAAAUGUGAUGGUGAAGAUUUCCCCAUCAUAGUAGCAAUGAAACAAUAACAGCAACAAAGCCUUAGAAUACCUGGAAAUACAUUUAAUAAAGAAUGUACAGUUUCUAGAAGAAUAAACAUCAGAAAUUCUUCUGAGGGGCAUUAAAAAACUUUGAAAAAAAGGGAAAGAUGUAUGCUGAGAUCUUACAGGAAGACUCAGUAUUAUAUAAUUAUUAUUUCUUCCUGAAAUAUUUUAGAAAUCAAAUGCAAUCUCAAUUACAAUCCCAACAAGAUAUAUUUAGAAAAUCAAUAAGAUGAAUAGAAAGUUCGUUCAUCUAAAAGAAAAAAACAAAACAAAAAGAGGUGAGGCUAGGAAAAUUUUGAAAAAUAAGACAAGAGAAGGCUAAUUUUUAAAACAACAAGCAUGUAUUUCAGAAAAACAAAAUACAGUUAAUUGAAAAGAAAAAGAAAAAGCAAACAGAGAGAGACAGGCCAGCUCACCUCUGGAGUGCAAGAGCAUUCCUCAGCCAUGUGUUCCCUUCCUCUUGUGAACCAAAUGGAAUGAAAGUGUGGAGGGAGGGUGUUAAGUGACUUUCUGAGCUGUGUUUUGAAAUGUAUUUCUCCUUAGUAACAAUGUUAUAAACAGUGCCGAGGUUCCAAGGCUAGCCCAGUUCUAUCAUAGGUUAGGUACAGGCUUCUAAGGCAUAUCUUAUAAACUCAACUACCAAAUUUAAUAUGGAUCCCACUGUAUGUGUUCUAGUCUCCAACUUUUGGAAUGCAUCGUUACAGUCAGUAGGGAACUACUUAGACAACUAAGUAUAAUGAAUAAAGAGUAUUUUGAGUGUGAAUGUGGCAUGUUAUGGCAAUAUGUUCAAUGUUUUUAAUUCUCUUUCACCAUAGACUUUUUUUUGAUUUCUCAUUUGCUUAUUUGUGUAACUUAUAAGAUAAUUACAUAUUUAACUUAGCAUUGUGAGAAACAAAAUUGAUAACAUUGCUUUAAUCUCCUGAAUGUAUAAUAUGUUCUUAUUUCUGAACAGAUACAUUUUUCAAGAUAUGGAGGAAAUAAGCAGUCCAAUCUCCACUGAGCUGUAUAUUUUUUCAGAUGUUUCUUCUGGAGUGAAUAUUUACGGGCUAGAUAGAAUUUCUUGAAAAUAGACAUGUCACAUUCUUGUUUAUAUGUAACAUUUAUUACAACUGGCAAGAAAUGAUAAUUUAAAACUAACUUUAAAAAAUGAGUUCAGGACAGGUGCGGUGGCUCUCGCCUGUAAUCCCAGCACUUUGGGAGGCCGAGGUGGGCGGAUCACUUGAGGUCAGGAGUUCAAGACCAGCCUGGCCAACAUGGCAAAACCCCAUCUCUACUAAAAGAAAAUAUAUAUAUAUACAAAAAUUAGCUGGACUUGGUGGCACAUGUCUGUAAUCUCAGCUACUUGGGAGGCUGAGGCAUGAGAAUCACUUGAACCCAGGAGGGGGAGGUUGCAGUGAGCUGAGAUCGCACCACUGAUCUCCAGCCUGGGUGACAGAGCAAGACUCUGUCACACAAACACACACACACACACACACAGGAGUUCAGGGAAGUUUAGUUUCGAACUAAUUUAUAGCUUGAAUACUUUGAGGUAAUAUUUAGAUCAAUUUAUUAUUCACUAAUUUUGUUGAAAAUUUAUAUCAUGACUAUUCUGAUUCCAUCUCAAGGCACGAGGUUACUCUCAGUGGAUAAAAACUCAGCUACAGCUGAGGUUAUUGAAAUGCCAUGCAUAUAAGCAUCCUGGCUCAUUUUCAAUUUGCCUAUGUAUGUGGGUAGGGUGUGUGUGUCUGCAUGCGCCCACAAUCCUUAAAAUUACGUGGAAUAUUAACAAAUAAUAUCAUGCACAUCCGAUGUUUGUGCAAUAAUAUUAGAGAGAAAGAAGAUUAUUCUCUGAGACCCUCCAAGCAUCUUGCUGAUAACUAGUUUUAUCCUUUGACACCACAGUUUGAGGCCGCAGCAGCCUGCUGACACUCAAACAGUGAGUUAGUGACAGGCUCUGCAGAGAACAGAGCACUUCUCUGUCCACAGAAUUCCGGGCACCAGGACGAACACAUAUGCACUGUAGACUUUGAGUAUUUUUAUAUGACUCAGUAUAAAUGUAUACAUUCAUAGCCUCAUGAGCGCAUGUCUGUAAAUAUGGGGUCUCAAUAGCUUCAUGCAUUUUCCUCACUAGCCAGCGAGUUCUCUGGCAUACUUAAUCAAUCCUCUACUAUUCUUGGAUAGGAAGUACUAAAUUGCUGAGGUUUUAACAAAUACCAUGUUUCACUUAGGCAGUGUAGAAAUUAUCCCAGUAUAAGUACAUUACUAUUUUUAUGUUUUUGAUUUUUAACUUUUAUUAUUUUAAAAAUAACAUAAUGUGUAUUCAUAAUGGAAACAUAUAAAAUGCAGAUAAGUAAAAAGAAAAAUAUACCUGAUCCCACCAUGUGGAGAUAAUAGCAACCAUAAUAAAUUUGAUGUAUACCUGAUUUAGACUUUUUUCUAUGCACUUAUAUACAUGCAUAAAAUUUUUCACAAAAAUAAAUCAUAUAGAUGUCUUAAAACCUUCAAACCCUGCUUUUAAAAUUUAAUAUACCAUAAAUACCUUUCAAUUUCCAACAUAAUAUUUAAUGGCUGCAAGCCAAGAAUAUUUUAGCUGAAUAGGACUGGGAAUUCUUUGCCCCAAAGAUCUUACAUUAAAUUGAAACGUAAUCAUCCCAGGGCCUGGCCUCCUGAGGGUAAGUUGUACCACUGUGGCAUCAAAAGGUAGCCAAGAGGCACUGUUUAAGGUAGCUGGGUGUCUAGGUGAGUGUGUGCAUGUGUGUAUGGUACUUCACAGUGUGGAACUGAGCUGAGAGUAGAAAGAGGUGUGAACUAAAGCCCUGGGCCAGGAACCAAAGACAAGUGUCUGGGUUUGGAUAGACCCACACUGCCACUGAGAAUUCUAAAUUUAAUCCCAUCUUCCAGAUAAUUUUGAGGCUUACAUUUUUUAAGGAAAAAAAGAGAUAAUAUUUUUUAUUUAGUAGUUUGCUUUCAUAACUUUAAAACAUUUUGGCACAUGAUAGGUGUAUUAUCCUUCAUUUGUACUUGAGGCAGCCCCUAAAAAUGUCAGGAGCAGGCCUGAAUACACAGAUUAUAUACUUCCUAAAUUUCUAGAAUGUAUAAUAAUUGUUUUAUAUAAUAAUUUACCUUUCUAUAUGAAUGAAAAGGAGUAUUACAUGAGUGCUCAUUUAUUGACUGGCUAAGGUUCAAUUUAAUAUGAUAUUUAUUGAAACUUCACCAUACACCAUAUUCUACUGGGUACAGGAUGAGAGGCAAAAAUACAUAGGCCAGACCCUUACAGGACUCCCAGUCUUCUGGGGACCUCAGACUGUGAAAUAAUUAUCCCACAGAGUGAUAAGUGCAUCAGACAAGUGUGAACAUGGUACAGAGCCACAGAGAGAAAAGAGUGGACAACUUCAGGGUCAGGACCCUGGGAUCAAUUAAUUUAUCUGGACAACUAUAGCCUCACAGAAAUCUUUAAAAAGCUGUAUAAACCAUUCCAUCCAAGAUGAGUUAUUGUAAGCCUUUGAAAUAGUUGAACAUUUUAAAUUUUUGAUAAAUUUGGUAGGUUGGUCACUUGACAAAUUGAUCAUUCAGGAAUUCACUUUUAGUAGAUGAUUUUUACCUAAUCAGCCUGUUUCUUUGAGGGGCUGAUCUCAAGGUACAUUCAUAGAAAUUCCGUCCAUGCUGGGAUUUAAAAAAUACAUAGGAAGGCCAAGUGCAUUGGCUCAGGCCUGUAAUCCCAGCACUUUGGGAAGCCAAGGCGGGUGAAUCACCUGAGGUCAGGAGUUCGAGACCAGCCUGACCAACAUGGUGAAAUCCAGCUCUACUAAAAAUACAAAAUUAGCUGGGUGUGCUGGUGCACACCUGUAAUCCCAGCUACUUGGGAGGCUGAGGCAGGUGAAUCACUUGAACCCAGGAGGCAGACGUUGCAGUGAGCUGAGAUUGCGCCAUUGCACUUCGGCCUGGGCAAGAAGAGCAAAACUCCUCAAAAACAAAACAAAACAAAAAAACACAUAGGAGUUUGAAUGGGAAGGCAUGUGGUCAGUUAAUGAGUAAAAAUACUCUGUGAAGAGGGAACAGCACAUGUGUCAGCUUGGAGGCACAUCAUGGAGUGGCACAUUCUGAGAACAGUAGGUGGUUAAAAUUGCUAGAGGACUGAGGUGAGGAAGCAAAAGGAGACAAAAUUGGAGAGAAAGACAGGGCUACAACCUGGAGGGUUUUGUGGUGCUGGGUUCCAUGGAGUUUUAUCCAAUAGGAAAUGGAAGCCAUUGAAGGAUUCAAAGGCAGGAAGUGAGAACAUCAGACUGCAUUUUAGACAGACCGUGCUGGCAAAGGAAUGAAGGAUGAAUUGAAGGGGAGUAGUCUGGAAGGGGGGAGUUCACUGCUGAGAAGGGAGCAUCCACAAGGGUCAUGAUAAGGGCAAAUUCUGAAUUCAGAGUGUUGAGAUUCAAAACUGCUUCUAUGACUUAGCAAAUGUGUGUGUGGGCAAAGCUGGUUUCCUCAUCUGAAAAAUACAAUAAUAAUAGCUGUGAAGAUUAAAAGAAACAAUACAUAUAAAGUGCUCAAGGAAGAGCCUGCCAUAUAGCUCUUAAUACAUACUAGCUAUUAUUUUUAAAAUGUAAUAUAAUUAUUAUAUUUAGGAGUUCAAAAGAAAGAUAUUGAUGGUCAGGCAGUGGAGGUGGGUGUGGGAAUAAGAAAUAUAAGGAGUGGAUUUGACAGGUCUUUUUGGCGAUUAGAUUCAAGAUGAGGUAGGAGGAAUUUGGGAAGACAGGAGCAAGAACAAGUGGGAUGGUGGAAGAUAAUGAAUUUUGCUUUGGACAUGGUGAGUUUUAGAUACUUUUGGGUCAUAAAGGAUAUCCAGUGAGCAGAUUGAUAUGUAGGCCUGCAGCUCAGUAAAGAGAAGUGAAGGCCACAUAAGCAAAAUGCCAGGGUAAGAGGUUGAUCAGAAAUAGCUGCACUGAUGUACAAAUGCUAUUUCAUCUAUUUGGCCCUUGAUGCAUGACGUCUGUUAGUACUCAGAAGAGAGGGCACCUUAAUAGCUUUCUUAGGUGCAAUCUCCACUAUAAAAGCUUUGCUUAUCAACCCAACUAGGUAGGGCUUCUUUACUCUUACACUCUUUGUUAUGGACUGAAUAUUUGUGUCUCUUCCACCCCACCAAAUUCAUAUGUUGAAGACCUAAUCCCCAAUGCUGUGUUAUUUAGAGAUGGGGCCUUUGGGAGGUAAUGAGGGUUAAAUGAGGUCUUGAGAAUGGGCCCUUGGUCCUAUGGGAUCACUGCCCUUAUAAGAAGAGACACUACUCUGUUAACAUACACCAAGGAAAGGCCACGCGAGCACACAGUGAGAAGGCAGCUGUCUCUACAAGCCAGAAGAGAGCCCUCAGAGAAACGACUCUGUUGGAUCUUGAUCUGAUGCUUCUAGCUUCCAGAACUGUGAAAAAACUUUCUGUUGUUUAAGCCACCCAGUCUAUGAUAUUUUAUUUUAUUAUGGCAGCCUGAGCUGACUAGUAUAUCCUUGUAUAAGGGGUUCUUUGUAUUUCUCCUAUGGGUUGGUCUUUUGUUUCACUCUCUUUAUUAGUAUAUGUUUCUUAUCACUUCUUCCACCUUAUAGGUAGCUUGAAGGCAGGUCUUUCCUUAUACUUAUGUUAGCAUUCCCUGUGGUGCCCUGCACAAGGUUUUGCCCAAAGGAGAUGUUCAAUAAACAUUUGAUGACCUCAAGAUAAUGCAGUAAUUUCUGUGAAGAAGGUCACAGAUAACAAGCUUAGGGCAGGAGACUAGGCAGCAUUCAAGACUUGGGCUCAGGUAGAAACGGCAAGAUAUAGGAUUUCAAUGUGAAAUUUGGAGAUUAGCAAGGACAGAGGUUCUCAACAAUGAUCAGUGAGAAAAGUGAAAUGGCCAACAUGUCUCCAAGUAAGGCAUAUUCUUUUUUGAGUAUUUUGCACUUUGCAAGCCAUUAUGUAAAAUUAUGUUUUGGCUUGGCUGCUUCAAAUUAACUUUGAAAAAAAAAUUGUUUUUGAGUUACAGUUUGUCUAAAGCAAAUGAGUUUAAAGGCUGAAAUCGAGAAUGGGUCAUAUCCUUAAUAAUUUUAUGUAGUAAAAGAUAUUUUUAAAAGAACUACCAAUCAACUGAAAAAUCCAAAAAUCCAACAAUGGCAGCCACUGCCCCCCAAAGAAAUGAAAUGAAACAAAACAAGCAAAACAAAAAAUAUUUUGUUUAUUGCACUUCAAACUCUAGUUUAUUGGGAACCACUUAAAAUUGACAUAAUGUUCUUAAGUGGAGAUUCAGGGGUGAUGCUGUGAUUCUGUGUAUUUUCUGCGGGAUGCCAAGUGUGUUCUGGGGGUCAUGGUAGAAAACAGAGAGGGACUUUGCCAUAAAUGUCUCAAGAUAUCCCUCUGUGAGGAUAGAAGAAGUGGGGGAGAUUUAUUUAUUUAUUUUCUCUGGAGCAUCCUUCAUUGCCAUCUUGCUAAUCUCCUGAGUGCUACUGGAAACAAGGACUUUCUAGUAUCACCAGCGCUGAAGCCCAACAGUACAUGGGAUGAAAAUGGAGUAAAGUUGACUCUACCAACCUAUCCACCUAAGAGAAACCAGCACGUGGAUGAAUGGAUGUCACAGCCUGGAGCAAACUCUUAGACUUGUGUUCUCCAAUAGGUGAGCCACUAGAGCCACAAUUGGCUGUGAGCAUUCAAAAUUUGGUCAGUCCAAAUUGAGAUUGAGAUGUGAGUGUAAAAUAUGCACUAGAUUUCAAAAACAGUUAAAAGAAUGUAAAAUAACUCAUUAAUAUUUGCUUAUUAAUUACAUGUUGAAAUAAUAUUUUGUAUAUAUUAAGCUAAAAUAUGUUAUUAAA